rnacentral:tRNA from 1 species
GCCUGACUGCCUCGAUUGGUGGAGUAUGUGACUCUUGAUCUCAAGGUUGUGGGUUCGAGCCCCACGUUGGGUG